rnacentral:rRNA from 1 species
ACAGAGGAUACCCUGGUAGUCCACGCUGUAAACGAUGAGUACUAGCUGUUGGUCCUGUGUAAAAGGAUUAUUGGCGCAGCUAACGCGCUAAGUACUCCGCCUGGGGACUACGGCCGCAAGGUUAAAACUCAAAGGAAUUGACGGGGACCCGCACAAGCGGUGGAGCAUGUGGUUUAAUUCGAUGCAACGCGAAGAACCUUACCUACCCUUGACAUCCUAAGAAGACGAAAGAGAUUUUGUUGUGCCUUCGGGAACUUAGAGACAGGUGCUGCAUGGCUGUCGUCAGCUCGUGCUG